rnacentral:rRNA from 1 species
AGAGUUUGAUCCUGGCUCAGGACGAACGCUGGCGGCGUGCCUAACACAUGCAAGUCGAGCGGAGGGAUCUAAAGAGCAAUCUAAGGAUGCCUGAGCGGCGGACGGGUGAGUAACACGUGAGCAACCUGCCUAUCACAGGGGGAUAACGCAGCGAAAGCUGCACUAAUACCGCAUGAGACCACAGCGGCGAUGGCCGCGGGGGUCAAAGGAGCGAUCCGGUGAGAGAUGGGCUCGCGUCCGAUUAGGUAGUUGGUGAGGUAACGGCCCACCAAGCCAAUGAUCGGUAGCCGGCCUGAGAGGGUGAACGGCCACAUUGGAACUGAGAGACGGUCCAAACUCCUACGGGAGGCAGCAGUGGGGAAUAUUGGGCAAUGGGGGAAACCCUGACCCAGCAACGCCGCGUGAGGGAAGAAGGUUUUCGGAUUGUAAACCUCUGUUCUUG